rnacentral:tRNA from 1 species
GCGUACAGAGUGGUUGAUUGUGGCGAUCUCGAAAAGCGUUUUAGCUCGCGCUAGCGAGGGUUCGAAUCCCUCUUUCUCCG